rnacentral:rRNA from 1 species
UACAGAGGGGGCAAGCGUUGUUCGGAAUUACUGGGCGUAAAGGGCGCGUAGGCGGCCUUCUAAGUCGAACGUGAAAUCCCCGGGCUCAACCCGGGAACUGCGUCCGAUACUGGAAGGCUUGAAUUCGGGAGAGGGAUGCAGAAUUCCAGGUGUAGCGGUGAAAUGCGUAGAUAUCUGGAGGAAUACCGGUGGCGAAGGCGGCAUCCUGGACCGAUAUUGACGCUGAUGCGCGAAAGCCAGGGGAGCAAACGGG